UUUUUUACUCCAUCAUCACAUCCGCUCCCAUAGUUUCACUCGUUCUAUUACCCCUUUCCUCUUACAAGCAAAGCUUCAGUAUUCUUAACUAUGGCAGAAGCUUGCCUCGCCGAUUUUGAGUAAGUCCUUUGUCUCUCUUCAAAACCCGUGACUCUUCUCUCUCUCUCUCAUUUGCAACGAGAUUUAGUCAACACAAGAGGCCAAAAGACUUUGGGCAUUUCGAUUUUUCUGACCAAAUCACGUGAGGCUCUUUCGAAUUACAACGUUCAGAUUCAAACGGUUUUUUUUACUGAAAUUCAAAUCCUUGAUUUCAAAUUUCUGCUCAAGAGGACCCAUCCAAAAUCAUCUCUCAAAGAACCCUAACUUUCCUCUAAAAAUACCCUCUUUUGUUUUCAGACGAAGCAGAGGUGGAAGGAACAAGAAUCACCACUUUACAUUGUCCAAAAUACUAAGUCUAAGAAGGACUCCGCCUUUGCUCGAACACUAUCAGUUUUACUCUUACCGUUGUUAACUUUCUUUCUAUCUCGUUUAACUUUGGUCGUGACAGAUAUUCGAACUCGUUCGGCUUGAAGUUCGGAUCUGUUCGUGACAAUAUAGAGUAGAUUCGGGAUUCGAUGCCCUAGUUCACUAUCCCACAAAAGGUAAUAGUCGACCCUGCUUCAGGUUCUCCUAUUUAAUUUAAAAUAUUGUGUUUACAUAGAAGAAUCGCGUUUUAGGUUUCCUUUUCUUUAGUUGUCACUAUUUUUAAGUUUUGUUCUUGGUCGAGUUUAGUAUAAGCAUUGCGCUAGAAAUUAUGCUUUAACUUUUCUCUAAUCGCAUCUAGAUAUAUUGUUAUUUUGGACAACCUGUCGUGGUAUCAUGCCUUUAGAUUUUCUUAAAAAUCAGAAUUAUGUUUAAAGUUAUGACCUGAACAUGUACUUAGUGAAAAUCAUGCUUUUAGGGUCUGUUGUCAUCUUUGCGUGAAUAUUAAAACUUAGGACCUUGUUUCUGAUCAAUGUGAUGUUCUCUAGGUAUUAGGCCAAGGAUCUCGUUUUUGUGAAUUGGGAUCAUAUGAGAAAAAUCAUGUCUGCUCCUAUCUUUUCUUGAAAGAUGAUGAAUUAUAUUAAGUUUUGAAAUACCUCAAAUUGAAACAGAUUCUAGUUGACUCGAUUCACUAUGAUAAAACACUGAUUCUGAGCUUACAAGUUCUUUUUUAUAAAUAUUGACAUCCUUUUGCUACUGUCGAAUGUUGUAAAAUAUGUCAUUACCUACUCACGUUUAAAUCAACUUUUAUUUGAUUCCUAUAGAGUGGACUUUAAGACUUUAUAUUGAUACUGAAUAAGAAUAUUUACUUUUGAAAAAGAAGUGAGAAUUCUUCUUAAGGAUUUCAUACUAUUAACUUAUAAAAAUAGUUGCUUCUCUUACGUUCCAGGUUAGAGUAACAUAAUUAAGCAUGCUUUUGCCAGCAUUAGAAUUUCAAGUUGUGUAUUCUUUUUUCUGCUUAAUCUUUCUUCAUUACUUUUUGUAUUUUGUUUUUGAUUCUCCCUCUACCUACUCCUAAUUUUUUCUUUCUUUAUUUUGUUUUGCAUGAUCACCGGAGCCCAAGAGUUUCACUUUAAGACUCGAUGCCGCAGUGGCACUACAUGGAGUCUAUACAUCCUCACCUUUCCUGCUUUUGCGUUACCUAGACAACAAUAAAUAGAGAAGAGAAAACCUUCUGGGGAGCUGAACUGGCUCUUUACAACUUCAUUUUACUUCAUUUAUGGCGUACAUGUUAAAUAUUUUUAUUUUGAUUGUGUCAUUGAUUGUUAAGAUCUGAAGUUACGAUACAAUUAUAGCUAUAUCUUGUUUAACUGUGCAGGUUUUAUUUUAUAACGAAAGUACUUACUUAUCAUAUAGGUAAUUACAGUUAACUGAAGCUCUUUAGAAUCUUGAUAUGUCUUAG
rnacentral:lncRNA from 1 species